ACUUUACAAUGCUGGCAACAGCGAUAAGGGAACCUCGAGUGCCAGGUUACAAAUCUGGCUGUCGAGAUGCCUAAAAAGCAUUUCAUAGCAAGGGCCGGGCAAGACCGGUGCCAGCCGCCGCGGUAACACCGGCGGCUCGAGUGGUAACCGUUAUUAUUGGGUCUAAAGGGUCUGUAGCCGGCCGGAUAAGUCUCUUGAGAAAUCUGGCAGCUCAACUGUCAGGCUUUCAGGAGAUACUGUCUGGCUCGAGGCCGGGAGAGGUGAGAGGUACUUCAGGGGUAGGGGUGAAAUCUUGUAAUCCUUGAAGGACCACCAGUGGCGAAGGCGUCUCACCAGAACGGACCUGACGGCAAGGGACGAAAGCUAGGGGCACGAACCGGAUUAGAUACCCGGGUAGUCCUAGCCGUAAACGAUACUCGCUAGGUGUCGGCCACGGUGCGACCGUUGUCGGUGCCGUAGGGAAGCCGUGAAGCGAGCCACCUGGGAAGUACGGCCGCAAGGCUGAAACUUAA
rnacentral:rRNA from 1 species